rnacentral:rRNA from 1 species
CAGCAGUAGGGAAUCUUAGACAAUGGGGGCAACCCUGAUCUAGCCAUGCCGCGUGUGUGAUGAAGGCCCUAGGGUCGUAAAGCACUUUCGCCAGAGAUGAUAAUGACGAGUAUCUGGUAAAGAAAACCCCGGCCUAACUCCGUGCCAGCAGCCGCGGUAAUACGGAGGGGGUUAGCGUUGUUCGGAAUUACUGGGCGUAAAGCGCACGUAGGCGGAUUAGUAAGUUAGAGGUGAAAUCCCAGGGCUCAACCCUGGAACUGCCUUUAAUACUGCUAGUCUUGAGUUCGAGAGAGGUAAGUGGAAUUCCGAGUGUAGAGGUGAAAUUCGUAGAUAUUCGGAGGAACACCAGUGGCGAAGGCGGCUUACUGGCUCGAUACUGGCGCUGAGGUGCGAAAGUGUGGGAGC